GUCACAGUGGUGCAGUGGGUAGCAUUGGAGCCUCACAGCUCCAGAAUCCCCAGUUCAAUCCUGAGCUCAGUUU